GGUGUAUCCUGCCUUGAUGCCCGAUGACGCCUGAGAUAGGCACAGGCUCCCCGUGACCCGAGGUAGUUCAGAUAAGCGGUAGAUGAUGAGUGAGUGAGUGAAAAAAUAUAUGAAAAUUCCAUCACAGGUUUUUCCAGUGAGCUGCAGAUCUCCUGAACCCCAGACUCCGUCUCCCUUCUGCACGACUCGCCGCUGUCAUCAACAGACAUUUUAAUAUUUACCUUUGAGUUCCUACAAUAAUUCUAUAAAAUCUCAUUCUUCUAAUAUUUGAAUGAUUUAUUUUAGUCCAUGAGACGAUUUUGUCCUGUUUGUAUUUUGUGUUGCUCUUUUAUGUAAAACAAACUGCUGUGUUUUUCAGAGCGAUCGGUGUGUGAUGAACAGCCUGGGAAUGUUUUAGCGUGAUGAUGAUGAUGAUGAUGAUGAUGAUGAUGAUGCUUUACAGUAGCACUUGGUAUCAUGUUUCUAAUUUGUUCUUUUCCUUCGUAUUUCUUUGUGUAUUUAAUCCUCUCCUCUUUGCCCUCAUGUGUAUUGCUGUGAAAACGCCAGUCAUUUGAAAAAGAAACAAAAAGGAGGAAAAACAGAAAACUGUGUGGAAGUAAAGUACCAGAGUCUGAGGAUUUGCACUAAACCCUAAUGUUAAUCUGAUAAAAGUUUUAUUUUAUAAACUAUUAAUGCAAAUAUUCUCAUGAGCAAAAGGCAGAGAUUUAUUCAGCUGAUAGCAAAAUAAAUGGAUUAAGUUUUGUUUUAUUUUCUGUAAAUUUAAUCCAAAGUGAAGAAUAUUGUCUGUAUAAAUAGUUUUAUAUUCCACUUAAAAGUAGAUUGAAUGUCAACCUUUACACAUAUUUGAUUAAAUGUUGGACAUGCAAUCACACGCGUGA